rnacentral:misc_RNA from 1 species
UACGGAGGAUGCAAGCGUUAUCCGGAUUUAUUGGGUUUAAAGGGUCCGCAGGCGGACUAUUAAGUCAGUGGUGAAAGCCUGCAGCUUAACUGCAGAACUGCCAUUGAUACUGAUAGUCUUGAGUGUGGUUGAAGUGGGCGGAAUAUGACAUGUAGCGGUGAAAUGCAUAGAGAUGUCAUAGAACACCAAUUGCGAAGGCAGCUCACUAAACCAUUACUGACGCUGAGGUGCGAAAGCGUGGGUAGCAAACAGG